rnacentral:rRNA from 1 species
UGUGAUUCAUGACUGGGGUGAAGUCGUAACAAGGUAACCCUAGGGGAACCUGGGGUUGGAUCACCUCCUUACCUUAA